rnacentral:rRNA from 1 species
GUCGUCAGCUCGUGUCGUGAGAUGUAGGGUUAAGUCCCGCAACGAGCGCAACCCUUGUCUUAAUUGCCAUCAUUGAGUUGGGCACUUUAAAGAGACUGCCGGUGUUAAACCGGAGGAAGGUGGGGAUGACGUCAAGUCCUCAUGGCCUUUAUGCCCAGGGCUACACACGUGCUACAAUGGGUGGUACAAAGAGCAGCCAGCUCGCGAGAGUGAGCAAAUCUCAAAAAGCCAUCCUCAGUUCGGAUUGAAGUCUGCAACUCGACUUCAUGAAGUUGGAAUCGCUAGUAAUCGCGGAUCAGCAUGCCGCGGUCGAAUACGUUCCCGGGCCUU